ensembl:lncRNA
GCCAAGAGGCAGCCUCCAAGAGGCCUUGAGCUGGCAUUGGGGUGGAAUCUAGAGGGUUAAUCUGACAGGCCCCAUGAGAAGAAGGGAACAUGGGGCACAGUGUGAAGGGAGAGCCAGGACCAGGAAAGGCAGAGAGAAGGGAGGGCCUCGCCUGGAGGAGAAAGGCUGACCCGAAGCUCAUAGGUAUGGGGCAGAGGCAGGAUUGAGGUUCUGGGGAUGGAAAGCCCCAGGACCCACGACAAUCAGCCAGACCCCUAGUGGUCCUCCCCAUAUGGCCCUCCAUCUCACAAUAGCAGAAACCCUUGAUCCAACCACACCAGUAGGGGAGGCACCAUUCCCUCACUGGGGCGCGUGGGGGAAAAGGAUGUCAAGGGGGUUCCCCUGCCCAUUUGGGCCCAAAAAGACCUCCAUUGCCCAGGCCUGGCCCUCGAUGAGGAGAGGGGCUGUAGCGCGGAUUCCCUUCAUGAUUCCUUUCUUUAUCUUGAGGAUCAAGAAAUACUCGACCGGGGUGCCCCCACCCCUCCCCAGGUUUAGGAGGAAUUAAAGGGAAAGAAAGAAAAAUGGGGGCACAAAGACCGGACCUUCCUGGGGCUGUCCCAGGGAUCAGGGGCCUUCCAGGGACACCGCCCAGAUGGGGUUACAUGCUCUGCAUUACAUAAGGAUGAGGCGGCCCGCUGGGUGCUUUUUCGAAGCGCCUCCACAUUUGCUCUUCCCUCGUUGCCAUGGGAGGCAGUCAGGGCCGGCACGAAAAAGUGGCCAAGGUCACCAGGCUGGAGGUGACAGCUGAAAUGAACGCCAAGAUCUCCCCUAAACGCAAGCCAGGCUCUUUAUUAAAAACAAACAGAAAUCUUCUGUAACUCAUUUUUUAAAUUGCAAAAUCAAACAGGCUCGUUGUAAACAAAUGCAGAACCGCGUGAUUUACGAAGUGAGAGGCCGGCCCGGCACUCCCAAACGAGCAGACUUCGGUAAUCCUCCGCUGUCAGCUUCCAGAUGGCUCUCCACGUCGCCAGAGAUCGGAUCUGGCCCGGCGGGCCCUGCCCGAGGGGCCGGGCCGGAAGGAUCAGGCAGACCCCGCCGCCCGCCGCGCCUCGGCCGGGCCCCCUGCGCGCUCCCGGGGGGCGGCCGCGCCGCGCCGGGUGGGGCCGGGGAAGCCGCUACGUCACGGGAGGGCGGGGGCCCGCGCCGGCGGCCGGGGCCAGCCAGGAUUCCAUUACCUCACCAGGCGGCGCCGGGUAAACGCUGCUGCAAGCCAUUGGCUCCCGUGCCGCCCUCCCAACCAAUAGCACGAGAGCAUGCAAAUCAGCCACCGCUGGCCGCUUCCCUCGAGUCUGGCGUAUGCAAAUAGACGUCUUAGCGAGGAUGAGGAAGAGGGGUCUCGAAAUCAGCAGGGGCUGUUUGCGGACGUGCUGUCGUAAAUCUGGUCCAGCCAGUCCUGAGGGGGAUGGAGUGUCAUUAAGGGUCAGCGGCCUUAAUUCUUGAACUGUCUUUCCAGUUAGAUCCCAAUUCUUAGAGAUUCAGUGAACCUAAGAAAUGGUGCAAAAAUUAUUUAGGUCAACUUGGAAAUGAGAGCAAGGAAGAAAUAAGACAUAAAGACACAGAAAACUGGAAUGUACUUUGGAGAACACCUAGGUCAACGUCCUCGCUGAGGACACAGCAAAGAACAAAACAGAUACAGCUCCUUCUCUCCUACCCGGCUCCUUACAGCCCAGUAAGGGAGACGGAUGUGAAACCAUCUUACAGAUAAGUACUAAGUGGCAUAAAGAGAAAAGGAAAUGCAGGAUACCAAUGAGAUAAUUCAAUGGGGAGUUGUAAAUUAGACAGGGGUGGUGGAUAAGGGAAUGCUUCUCCAAGGAAGCAGCUUUUUUUUUUUUUUUAAAGAUUGGCAUCUGUUGCCAAUCUUCUUUUCUUUUCUUCUCCCCAAAGCCCCCCAGUACAUAGUUGUAUAUUUUAGCUGUGAGUACCUCUGGUUGUGCUAUGUAGGAUGCCGCCUCAGCCUCCAGGAUCUGAACCGGCGAAACCCUGGGCCGCCAAAGCAGAGCGCAGGAACUUAACCACUCGGCCACUGGGCCUGCCCCAGGAAGCAGCUUUUAAACUAAGGAGUGUCUGUGGGGUGGGGAGUUGGGGGAAGAGCCAAGUGUUCCCGGGAGAGGAAGCAGUAUGUGUGGAAGCCCAGAGGUGGGAAAGGGCUUGGUUCCUUCGAGCAGCAGAAUAAGCUCCAGCCCUGGGAGACCCCAAAAUGCUGUGUGGUGGUGCCCUCUACUGGACGGAAGUGGCCUCUACUGGGCUGCUGCCUCUGAAGGGAGAAAGGAAGGAACCCGAGCCUCAGGAGGCUGCGACUCUGCCGCAGAAACCCUGCAGCAUAGCUGGGACCGGGACCGACAUUUACACAUCUGAGGUCCUCCAGGGGUCAGGUCAAGGAAAGAAGAGAGAUGGCUGAGAGCUCAAGGAGGGUCUGAAACCAGGCGGCCCAGGGGGCUGGGCAAGGACGCGACGACGGGGAGGUCGAGCAGUUCCCGAGUCUUCCCAGCAGAGGGCGAGGCCGCCCCGAAGCUCCGCGAGCCUGCCCAGGCCACGCCCCCGCCGCGACCAGCCCCUCAGGGACCGGGAUGCCGCGAGGAGCCCCUCCCCCCGAUUUUGAAGGGCCUGUGGGGCGUGGGGAUGGAGGGGCGGUGGAUGGGGUAGGGCAAGGGAAGAAGAGAGGACCCGCAGGCGAGGUUGCCGCGGAGACGCUGUGGGCGUCUACGAUGGGGUCGAGUGUGCUGGGGCGCGUCUGGGGCCGGGAGAGG